rnacentral:misc_RNA from 1 species
GUGAAUCAUCGAAUUUUUGAACGCAAAUUGCACUCUCUUCGGAGAGUAUGCCUGUUUGAGGGUCAGCCUAUAAAAAAUCGACAUAGUUGCUGUUUCGCGGUGACAUUCGUCGGAAAUUGGGUCAUCUUAAAUCUUUGGGUUUUAAGCGGCUUAAAAUUUUCUUUUCGUUUCAUCGACGUUUUUUAGGUUUAUAUUUUUUCACGGUUUA